rnacentral:tRNA from 1 species
GGGCGAAUAGCUCAGCCGGAAGAGCGCUUGCUUUACACGCAAGAUGUCGGGGGUUCGAGUCCCUCUUCGCCCA